rnacentral:rRNA from 1 species
CCUACGGGAGGCAGCAGUGGGGAAUAUUGCACAAUGGGCGAAAGCCUGAUGCAGCAACGCCGCGUGAGCGAUGAAGGCCUUCGGGUCGUAAAGCUCUGUCCUCCAGGAAGAUAAUGACGGUACUUGAGGAGGCAGCCCCGGCUAACUACGUGCCAGCAGCCGCGGUAAUACGUAGGGGGCUAGCGUUAUCCGGAAUUACUGGGCGUAAAGGGUGCGUAGGUGGUUUCUUAAGUCAGAGGUGAAAGGCUACGGCUCAACCAUAGUAAGCCUUUGAAACUGGGGAACUUGAGUGGAGGAGAGGUGAGUGGAAUUCGUGGUGGAGCGGUGAAAGGCGUAGAUAUUAGGAAGAACACCAGUUGCGAAGGCGGCAUGCUGGACUGUUACUGACACUGAGGCACGAAAGCGUGGGGAGCGAACAGGAUUAGAGACCCGAGUAGUC